GCGGCACCGGGGCUCCGGCCCCGGUGAGGAUCACAAC
rnacentral:other from 1 species